rnacentral:rRNA from 1 species
CCUACGGCGGUCAGCAGUGGGGAAUAUUGCACAAUGGGCGCAAGCCUGAUGCAGCAACGCCGCGUGUGCGAUGAAGGCCUUCGGGUUGUCAAGUUCUGUCCUCGAGGAAGAUAAUGAUGGUGUUUGAGGAGGAAUCCCCGGCUAACUACGUGCCAGCAGCCGCGGUAAUACGUCGGGGGCUAGCGUUCUCCGGAAUUACUGGUCGUAGAGGGAGGGUAGAUGGUUUCUUAAGUCAUAGGUGAAAGGCUAGGGCUCAACCGUAGAAAGACUUUGAAACUGGGAAACGUGAGUGCAGGAGAGGGGGGUGGAAGUCCUGGUGUAGCGGUGAAAUGCGUAGAUAUUAGGAGGAACACCAGUUGCGAAGGCGGAUCUCUGGACUGUAACUGACACUGAGGCACGAAAGCGUGGGGAGCAAACAGGAUUAGAUACCCGGGUAGUC